rnacentral:rRNA from 1 species
UCAGGAUGAACGCUGGCGGCGUGCUUAACACAUGCAAGUCGAACGAUGAUGCCCACUUGUGGGUGGAUUAGUGGCGAACGGGUGAGUAACACGUGAGUAACCUGCCCUUGACUCUGGGAUAAGCCUGGGAAACUGGGUCUAAUACCGGAUAUGACCUUCCAUCGCAUGGUGGUUGGUGGAAAGCUUUUGUGGUUUUGGAUGGACUCGCGGCCUAUCAGCUUGUUGGUGGGGUAAUGGCCUACCAAGGCGACGACGGGUAGCCGGCCUGAGAGGGUGACCGGCCACACUGGGACUGAGACACGGCCCAGACUCCUACGGGAGGCAGCAGUGGGGAAUAUUGCACAAUGGGCGCAAGCCUGAUGCAGCGACGCCGCGUGAGGGAUGACGGCCUUCGGGUUGUAAACCUCUUUCAGUAGGGAAGAAGCGUAAGUGACGGUACCUGCAGAAGAAGCGCCGGCUAACUACGUGCCAGCAGCCGCGGUAAUACGUAGGGCGCAAGCGUUAUCCGGAAUUAUUGGGCGUAAAGAGCUCGUAGGCGGUUUGUCGCGUCUGCCGUGAAAGUCCGGGGCUCAACUCCGGAUCUGCGGUGGGUACGGGCAGACUAGAGUGAUGUAGGGGAGACUGGAAUUCCUGGUGUAGCGGUGAAAUGCGCAGAUAUCAGGAGGAACACCGAUGGCGAAGGCAGGUCUCUGGGCAUUAACUGACGCUA